UACGAAGGGGGCUAGCGUUGCUCGGAAUCACUGGGCGUAAAGCGCACGUAGGCGGAUUGUUAAGUCAGGGGUGAAAUCCUGGAGCUCAACUCCAGAACUGCCUUUGAUACUGGCGAUCUUGAGUCCGGGAGAGGUGAGUGGAACUGCGAGUGUAGAGGUGAAAUUCGUAGAUAUUCGCAAGAACACCAGUGGCGAAGGCGGCCAACUGGUCCGAUACUGACGCUGAGGCGCGAAAGCGUGGGGAGCAAACAGG
rnacentral:rRNA from 1 species